GUCAAAGUCGAGCAUUUGACACGAAUUUCCCGCGCGCCGCUCGCAUUUCAAAGAACUUCAGCGGCAGUCGCUGUAACGAGCGCUAACGAUUCGUUCGAUACAAGCCUUGAGGAAAUGCUCGAAAUUUUCAAGACACCGUUAACCUCUUCGAGUUAACAGUACAAAUACGUAGUAAGUGAUCAAAGAAAUUUCUCAUAGUGGAACGAGUCUCGAUAAGAAUCAGACAGAUACGCCAAGUGAUAAGAAAGGCACGUAAAAGAGACUAAUGUCUGUCUGGAUACACAUACACAAUUUAAGAUGGCAGUAAGGGUCGAAAAUCCAGUAUGGCCGCUACGAAAUUUGUGGGCAACGAAUAUUGUGUAUAUCGGUUAUUGGCCGUGGAAUUAUUAGGCAAGAAUGUCCCAGCUAUACCAGUGUGUCGAAUGUAGCCUAUUGCUCAUUUUUGCUUAGGACUUACAGAACGUAGCCGCGUAAUUAAUGUUGCAACGGUGCAACGAACUCAACACUUGGGCCAGCGGCUCUCCUAUGCUUACGUAUCAUAAGUAUCAGUAGUGUUGUCUGUUUCCAAUGUUCCUGGUCUCCAGAUAUAGCACCAAUUGAAUCUAGCCACGGGUUCUCUUACGUUUACUAUAUACUCGGAGCUAGGACACGGCUAUGCUCCGGCAACGAAUCAGGAUGUCGAAAUGGGCCCCGAGACCGGCAACUAGGAGUUAUGUAAAAUUGCCGCAAAACUACGCGCGACACUGCCGACAAAAAUACCGGAAAUGAAUGUCCUAAAAGCAAGGAGGAAAAAGACUCUCUCCAGAACCAAGUACAUCCGUAACACGGCACGCACUCCUUCACCAGUACCAUCUACCCGUACAGACUCAUCUGCUUAUAUGUACAAGUUCAAGGAACAAUGAACGUCACGAUCUAUAAUGUACGAUUUUGCCAAGUGCCGCUGUGUAUUGUGGCGGCUUGUGCUACUGACCUUAAAACAUACUUACCUAUGUUAUACUACGCGAUUGCUCGCACACGACCAGUCGCUGUCUUAUACGUACUUUAAGCCUGAUACACAAGAUGGUCAAUGUAACAUGAUCACGCAUCGCUAUUUAUCCAUCUAAAGUACUUGUGCAGGAUAUAUGCAAGAUAUAUGGCAGAUAAAUAUAUUUACAAAGGAAUUACCUUCGGGGAAUUAUAACGAGAGGAUGUAGAAAGACGCCUGGGUAUCGUCAUCUGGUCUAAUGGCAGGGACUGGAACCUCUUGCAAAUUCAUUUGGCUGAUCUAUGAUUCAUGGAAGACAAGUUCGUAGUGGUGGAAACUGUUAAGUUUCUUGGAUCUUGACUUUACACGUAGACGAAUCGUAACGGAUUCAUUGGGGCAGUUAGAGGAACACGCGACUGGAUCAGGAUGAGCGAGACAGGUCUCUCCUGACUGGUCCUCCUUCUCCUCCUUCUCUUCUUCUCUACGAGACGCUAAGACGCUUACUCUCCAUCUCGAUUGGCCCACUUGGUAAACAGGACAAAACCGCCGCAAGGAUUGAUGCUCGACUUUUAUAUUAUCAUCGCUAUGGAAUUACGAGCAGAAACCGAAACCGAGUAAACGCCAUGAGAUUCGGCUUCAUUACCGAUAGACUUUGGAUAUUGGGAUAAUUGGUGCAAAACGAUUGGGUUUUUCAUAAUUGGAUAGUGUCUGGAUAAAAUAGCUCUAGACGGUUUAAUGUACAAUAGUAGCACGGAACUAAAUGUACUAAUCUGUAAUUAAGGCUCAUUCCUAAAGACUCACAAAUAAUCUCACGCAAUGUCCUCGAUUCAUGAUCAGUCCCCGCGAAGGGACCGCGUGAUUUCCUCAACGUAGCGCAAGAACGGGCCUCGAGUAACUGUCUUGGAUGUUCGGGCAUUAAGCAGGGACCUUUAAAACGUUAGUAGGCGAGACGCUGAAAAGUCACGGUAUAAAGGAAACCGUGCGUAUAUUGCUAUGUAUGACUUUCUUUUUUCUGUAUAAUUAAUUUACGUGGGAAUUGUAUUUCCCUAGAUUACAAUAAUUACUCAGUAGUUUUAUCGAUGA